UAACAUAUAUAUUUGAUAUUCGUUAUCUAGCUGAUUAGUUUCUGGGUUGUGUAAUAUCCAUCAUAUAUAACCUCUCGGAUAAUAAUUAUCACAUCAUAUCCGCAUCCAUUAAUUUUUCGACGAUUUUUAAUUAUACACGCACCCAUAUUCAUGAAUAACAAUUUAAAAAAAAACUGAAACCCAUACAAAAAAUAAAAUUAAAUGAAAACAAAAGCA
rnacentral:lncRNA from 1 species